rnacentral:rRNA from 1 species
AAUAUUGGACAAUGGGCGCAAGCCUGAUCCAGCCAUGCCGCGUGAGUGAUGAAGGCCCUAGGGUUGUAAAGCUCUUUCACCGGUGAAGAUAAUGACGGUAACCGGAGAAGAAGCCCCGGCUAACUUCGUACCAGCAGCCGCGGUAAUACGAAGGGGGCUAGCGUUGUUCGGAAUUACUGGGCGUAAAGCGCACGUAGGCGGAUAUUUAAGUCAGGGGUGAAAUCCCGAGGCUCAACCUCGGAACUGCCUUUGAUACUGGGUAUCUAGAGUCCGGAAGAGGUGAGUGGAAUUCCGAGUGUAGAGGUGAAAUUCGUAGAUAUUCGGAGGAACACCAGUGGCGAAGGCGGCUCACUGGUCCGGUACUGACGCUGUGGUGCGAAAGCGUGGGGAGCAAACAGG